ensembl:snRNA U6 U6 spliceosomal RNA
GUGCUCACUUUGGCAGCACAUGUGCUAAAACUGGUACAAUACAGAGAGGAUUAGCCUGGCCUCUGCACGAAGAUGAUACGCAAAUGCGUGAAGCAUUCCCUAUUUUU